rnacentral:rRNA from 1 species
UGGGUGGAUUAGUGGCGAACGGGUGAGUAACACGUGAGUAACCUGCCCUUGACUCUGGGAUAAGCCCGGGAAACUGGGUCUAAUACUGGAUAUUCAGCUUCCAUCGCAUGGUGGUGGUUGGAAAGGGAUUGACUGGUCAAGGAUGGACUCGCGGCCUAUCAGCUUGUUGGUGGGGUAAUGGCCUACCAAGGCGACGACGGGUAGCCGGCCUGAGAGGGUGACCGGCCACACUGGGACUGAGACACGGCCCAGACCCUACGGGAGCAGCAGUGGGGAAUAUUCACAAUGGGCGGAAGCCUGAUGCAGCGACGCGCGUGAGGGAUGACGGCCUUCGGUUGUAAACCUCUUUCAGUAGGAAGAAGCGAGAGGACGGUACCUGCAGAAGAAGCGCCGGCUAACUACGUGCCAGCAGCCGCGGUAAUACGUAGGGCGCAAGGUAUCCGGAAUUAUGGGCGUAAAGAGCUCGUAGGCGGUUUGUCGCGUCUGCCGUGAAAGUCCGGGGCUCAACCCCGGAUCUGCGGUGGGUACGGGCAGACUAGAGUGCUGUAGGGGAGACUGGAAUUCCUGGUGUAGCGGUGAAAUGCGCAGAUAUCAGGAGGAACACCGAUGGCGAAGGCAGGUCUCUGGGCAGUAACUGACGCUGAGGAGCGAAAGCAUGGGGAGCGAACAGGAUUAGAUACCCUGGUAGUCCAUGCCGUAAACGUUGGGCACUAGAUGUGGGGGACAUUCCACGUUCUCCGCGUCGUAGCUAACGCAUUAAGUGCCCCGCCUGGGGAGUACGGCCGCAAGGCUAAAACUCAAAGGAAUUGACGGGGGCCCGCACAAGCGGCGGAGCAUGCGGAUUAAUUCGAUGCAACGCGAAGAACCUUACCAAGGCUUGACAUGGACCGGACCGCCCUGGAAACAGGGCUUCCCUUCGGGGCUGGUUCACAGGUGGUGCAUGGUUGUCGUCAGCUCGUGUCGUGAGAUGUUGGGUUAAGUCCCGCAACGAGCGCAACCCUCGUUCCAUGUUGCCAGCACGUAGUGGUGGGGACUCAUGGGAGACUGCCGGGGUCAACUCGGAGGAAGGUGGGGACGACGUCAAAUCAUCAUGCCCCUUAUGUCUUGGGCUUCACGCAUGCUACAAUGGCCGGUACAAUGGGUUGCGAUACUGUGAGGUGGAGCUAAUCCCAAAAAGCCGGUCUCAGUUCGGAUUGGGGUCUGCAACUCGACCCCAUGAAGUCGGAGUCGCUAGUAAUCGCAGAUCAGCAACGCUGCGGUGAAUACGUUCCCGGGCCUUGUACACACCGCCCGUCAAGUCACGAA